CGUGGCGGAUAUAAUAGGAGGGGCAACAUGCCACAGAGAGGUGGUGGCGGUGGAGGAAGUGGUGGAAUCGGCUAUCCAUACCCUCGUGCCCCUGUUUUUCCUGGCCGUGGUAGUUACUCAAACAGAGGGAACUACAACAGAGGUGGAAUGCCCAACAGAGGGAACUACAACCAGAACUUCAGAGGACGAGGAAACAAUCGUGGCUACAAAAAUCAAUCUCAGGGCUACAACCAGUGGCAGCAGGGUCUAUUUAGCUGGUACCUACUGCUAUAUCACCUAGUGUGACAUUUCGGAAUUAAUGGAACAAUGAAGGAAGCUGUACACUGGA
rnacentral:sRNA from 1 species